rnacentral:tRNA from 1 species
GCCGGCCUAGCUCAGCUGGUAGAGCAUCCGCCUUGUAAGCGGGAGGUCGUCGGUUCGAGUCCGACGGCCGGCA